rnacentral:rRNA from 1 species
UACAGAGGUCUCAAGCGUUGUUCGGAUUCAUUGGGCGUAAAGGGUGCGUAGGCGGCGCGGUAAGUCGGGUGUGAAAUCUCGGAGCUUAACUCCGAAACUGCAUUCGAUACUGCCGUGCUUGAGGACUGGAGAGGAGACUGGAAUUUACGGUGUAGCGGUGAAAUGCGUAGAUAUCGGGAGGAACACCGGUGGCGAAGGCGGCAUCCUGGACCAAUACUGACGCUGAGGCGCGAAAGCGUGGGGAGCAAACAGG